AUUGAACGCUGGCGGAAUGCUUUACACAUGCAAGUCGAACGGCAGCGCGGACUUCGGUCUGGUGGCGAGUGGCGAACGGGUGAGUAACAUAUCGGAACGUAUCCAAUAAUGGGGGAUAACUAAUCGAAAGGUUGGCUAAUACCGCAUACGCCCUACGGGGGAAAGCAGGGGAUCUUCGGGCCUUGCGUUAAUGGAGCGGCUGAUAUCUGAUUAGCUAGUUGGUGAGGUAAAGGCUCACCAAGGCGACGAUCAGUAGCUGGUCUGAGAGGACGACCAGCCACACUGGAACUGAGAGACGGUCCAGACUCCUACGGGAGGCAGCAGUGGGGAAUUUUGGACAAUGGGCGCAAGCCUGAUCCAGCCAUUCCGCGUGAGUGAAGAAGGCCUUCGGGUUGUAAAGCUCUUUCGCAAGGGAAGAAAACUUACUUUCUAAUAAAGAGUGAGGUUGACGGUACCUUGAUAAGAAGCACCGGCUAACUACGUGCCAGCAGCCGCCGUAA
rnacentral:rRNA from 1 species